CUAACGAAUCACGUUGUCUCACUUUCCACGCUUAAAAGUCUAUUUUAUGCGUCCCCCUCCAGAUCCAUGAUGGUAUCUAGCAAACAUCCGAGUUUCGAACGGCCGUGUCCCCCGAUUCGAUUCCCUUCCAUGUUCACAUUGUCCAAUUUGUCCGCCCCUUUUUAUCAUUUCCCCGUUACCACUCUAAUCCUCCACUUGUACCGUUUUUCAGCGGAUCCCUUGAUCGGUGAAUCGCGGUAUCAGAUGGGCGGGGAACACAUUAGUUAGCGGUAACAAGCGCGGCGAACAACUGCGUUACAACAUAGCCAGGGCGUGUUCUACACAACCAUAAAAUACGUGUCACAACCGUGCUACCGUGUAAGCCUGUUUCUAACCUUUACCUGCACACGUGGCCACGAACAAAUAACUCGUUUAUUAUUCCGCGAACGAUCACGAAAAAUCACCUUUUUUCGCUUCUCUUGAAAUGUUUCCUUUCGGAUCGUUUCGGAAACUGCAUUUUCCAAUUUCGAGAGUGCUUUGUCAUCUUUCAUUCUUUUUUUUUAUUUUUUUUCAGGGACUCAGGUCUCACGGACGUCGGUGAAGAAUGCGAAAAGUUAUGAGUUGAAGAGUGAAAUUGAGAAGUUUCGAGGUAUUUUUCGAUCAAUAGUUUAUAGAGUUCAACACAUUGUGAAUAAAAGACGCGAAUCUAUGGCCUUCGAUUUCCAAACAUUCGGAAGGAGACACGAGAAUCUAUGUCUUUUGUUUACCAAUCGUUGGAGAGGGGAGACGUGAAUCUACGUCUUUAGUUUUAUUCGGUCGCGCGGUGUUUACUUUACGAUUCUCUCCGGUGACGCCGAGGCUUACGGACGUGCGACGAACUCUCCUAAAGAAAGCGUGAUUCGAUGAAAGAGCAUGGAAUCCUGGAAUUUUGUGAAACGUGUGUAUAUACGAAUGCAUAAAUGAAGCAUUGUUUUGGAAAAAUUAAUGUCGUUUCAUUUGGCAAAUUCAUUGAGCAGACAAAUGUUUGUUAAUGGUGUGAGGCAAGAGGGGAAAAUAAAAGAGCGGUGGAAUAUCAGGAAAUAUUUUUAAUGUACCAAUUAGAAUGAUAUUUAUGAGAGCAUGAUAUUAAAAAUAAAAUAAAGAUACAUCGUUCUCGAAAUGAGAAAAAGAAGAAAAAAAGAAGACGACAAAAUAAUAAAUUCUUCUACGAAGAUUUUUCUUUUUUUAAAGAAAAAAAAAAGGAACAAACAUCAAAUAAGUUUGACGCGAGGAAAAAUUUUAAGAACUUUCAUCGUUCUUUCUGAAUCUUGGCAGUUAAGAAGAAUCCGUGGAAUUUCGCAGAGGAAAUUUCCGCCCAUAAAGUUGCCUUCUCACCGGCAACUUUAAUGGUGGAUAAUAAGAGAAGGAAACGGAUUAGCGUAGUGGUCAUGUUCGUGAAUGACACGUGAUAAAUUCUGAUUUUCGUUUCGGCUGAAAUGAACGAAACAACGCUAUGAAACAAGGGGCAAAGUCUAUCCCCCAUCGUGAACACAUUUUCAUCAAAUACAGAACACACGUUAUAUUCUGGUACGUGUUAACAAGUCUCAGUUAACAAGCCAACAACGCUAUUUUCCAACAUUUUCCUCCAAUAACUAUACUGUAUACAACCAACGUGGAUUGAAACAAUAUGAAUUCCUACACACAAUGUUUCAGAAUCGAUCAAUCGUAUAAUU
rnacentral:lncRNA from 1 species